GAGCGGCGUCUCGCUCCGCGGAAAACGUGGCUGCGGGUGCGGUCAUGGGGCAGGAGUGCCUCUGCCUCUCCUCCCGACCCUGGCGCGCACACACACACCUGUCCCCUCUGAGCGCGACGUAUUUUUCUCAGUCAGAGGAGGAUGUACCACUGAAUUGGAAAACUGGGUUCCUGCCUUAAUAGACCGUGGAGUUAGAAGAACUUUAAUUCAAGUGUCCUGGUAUCCUGAGAUCAUAUGAGCUCCCACCCCUCUCAACUUUGGACUGACCUAGAUGUGCCGAGAAUGACCACUGCUCUCCCCAUAGACGGACAAUAGUGCUCCAUUCACAACUCCUGUCCCUUCAGUGUCGGUUUUGAUGGGCAUUGGAAACGGGGCCAGUGGUGACAUUAAAACAGGAAGCCUCAGGGGGCGUCUGGGUGGCUCAGUUGGUUAAGCGACUGCCUUUGGCUCAGGUCAUGAUCUUGGAGUCCCUGGAUAGAGUCCUGCAUCAGGCUCCCUGCUUGUCAGGGAGUCUGUUUCUCCCUCUGACCCUCCCCCCUCUCAUGUG